GACGAACGCUGGCGGCGUGCCUAAUACAUGCAAGUUGAGCGCUGAAGGUUGGUACUUGUACCAACUGGAUGAGCAGCGAACGGGUGAGUAACGCGUGGGGAAUCUGCCUUUGAGCGGGGGACAACAUUUGGAAACGAAUGCUAAUACCGCAUAAAAACUUUAAACACAAGUUUUAAGUUUGAAAGAUGCAAUUGCAUCACUCAAAGAUGAUCCCGCGUUGUAUUAGCUAGUUGGUGAGGUAAAGGCUCACCAAGGCGAUGAUACAUAGCCGACCUGAGAGGGUGGUCGGCCACAUUGGGACUGGGACACGGCCCAAACUCCUACGGGAGGCAGCAGUAGGGAAUCUUCGGCAAUGGACGAAAGUCUGACCGAGCAACGCCGCGGGAGUGAAGAAGGUUUUCAGGUCGUAAAACUCUGUUGGUAGAGAAGAACGUUGGUGAGAGUGGAAAGCUCAUCAAGUGACGGUAACUACCCAGAAAGGGACGGCUAACUACGUG
rnacentral:rRNA from 1 species